rnacentral:rRNA from 1 species
GACGAACGCUGGCGGCGUGCCUAAUACAUGCAAGUAGAACGCUGAAGGAGGAGCUUGCUCUUCUGGAUGAGUUGCGAACGGGUGAGUAACGCGUAGGUAACCUGCCUGGUAGUGGGGGAUAACUAUUGGAAACGAUAGCUAAUACCGCAUAACAGUAGAUGUUGCAUGACAUUUGCUUAAAAGGUGCAAUUGCACCACUACCAGAUGGACCUGCGUUGUAUUAGCUAGUUGGUGGGGUAACGGCUCACCAAGGCGACGAUACAUAGCCGACCUGAGAGGGGGAUCGGCCACACUGGGACUGAGACACGGCCCAGACUCCUACGGGAGGCAGCAGUAGGGAAUCUUCGGCAAUGGACGGAAGUCUGACCGAGCAACGCCGCGUGAGUGAAGAAGGUUUUCGGAUCGUAAAGCUCUGUUGUAAGAGAAGAACGAGUGUGAGAGUGGAAAGUUCACACUGUGACGGUAUCUUACCAGAAAGGGACGGCUAACUACGUG